ACCUCUGGGACUCGCGGGGGGCGUCCUCAGAGGGGCGACUCCUACAAAUGAAGGCCAAGUCUGGGGAAAGUUUCUGGCGGUGUCAAGGGUCAGCUUUUUCUUGUAGGGACGUUCUCUAGCCAAGAGAUGGAAACUCCAGCGAUUUUGUCCGCGGGUUCUGCUGACAUCACAAACCACACAUCACUCCGUGUCAUCUUGUGUAGUUUGUACAAAGACUCUCCAUCAUUACUGCAGCCUUCUGCACGUUCGCCUUUCAAAGCCCCAGCAGGUACGAUCAUGUCAUAACAUUUGGAGGGUGAAGGGAGACGUGACUAUGGUUCAUUGUCUGAUUGAAAGAGCCGAGGUUCAGAAUCCUAGAGGGAUUUCCUGCUGUUAGACUUCUGGAUCCUGGCAGAGCUGAGACCAGACUCCAAACCUGCGGACUUCUCAUUCUGAGUACUUUCCACUGUGACAUGCUACCUCAAAGUGAGCCUGCUGGAAAAUCUACCAUUAAUCUUCGUGAAAAGAAAUUAAACUUUAAACCUUGCACACUAAAAAGAAAAAGCUGCUAAGGACAGAUGGAAUUUCUUCUCCUGGGCUCUAGUCCCUGUUUUCCGCACCAGCUGUGGACCUUCAUCCUGGCCACUAAGGGACUUGGCUUUGAUCAUAUUCCAAAGAUCUGGCAAUUAAUUAGCAUGAGCGAUAUUGUUAAGAAGUUACGCAAAGAAGUCAUAGUC
rnacentral:lncRNA from 1 species